rnacentral:rRNA from 1 species
UGCAGUCGACGAUGACCGGUUUCGGCCGGGGAUUAGUGGCGAACGGGUGAGUAACACGUGGGCAAUCUGCCCUGCACUCUGGGACAAGCCCUGGAAACGGGGUCUAAUACCGGAUAUGACACGCUCCCGCAUGGGAUGUGUGUGGAAAGCUCCGGCGGUGCAGGAUGAGCCCGCGGCCUAUCAGCUUGUUGGUGGGGUGAUGGCCUACCAAGGCGACGACGGGUAGCCGGCCUGAGAGGGCGACCGGCCACACUGGGACUGAGACACGGCCCAGACUCCUACGGGAGGCAGCAGUGGGGAAUAUUGCACAAUGGGCGAAAGCCUGAUGCAGCGACGCCGCGUGAGGGAUGACGGCCUUCGGGUUGUAAACCUCUUUCAGCAGGGAAGAAGCGAGAGUGACGGUACCUGCAGAAGAAGCGCCGGCUAACUACGUGCCAGCAGCCGCGGUAAUACGUAGGGCGCAAGCGUUGUCCGGAAUUAUUGGGCGUAAAGAGCUCGUAGGCGGCUUGUCGCGUCGGAUGUGAAAGCCCGGGGCUUAACUCCGGGUCUGCAUUCGAUACGGGCAGGCUAGAGUUCGGUAGGGGAGAUCGGAAUUCCUGGUGUAGCGGUGAAAUGCGCAGAUAUCAGGAGGAACACCGGUGGCGAAGGCGGAUCUCUGGGCCGAUACUGACGCUGAGGAGCGAAAGCGUGGGGAGCGAACAGGAUUAGAUACCCUGGUAGUCCACGCCGUAAACGUUGGGAACUAGGUGUGGGCGACAUUCCACGUCGUCCGCGCCGCAGCUAACGCAUUAAGUUCCCCGCCUGGGGAGUACGGCCGCAAGGCUAAAACUCAAAGGAAUUGAC